UACGUAGGUGGCAAGCGUUGUCCGGAAUUAUUGGGCGUAAAGCGCGCGCAGGCGGUUUCUUAAGUCUGAUGUGAAAGCCCACGGCUUAACCGUGGAAGGUCAUUGGAAACUGGGAGACUUGAGUGCGGAAGAGAAGAGCGGAAUUCCACGUGUAGCGGUGAAAUGCGUAGAGAUGUGGAGGAACACCAGUGGCGAAGGCGGCUCUUUGGUCUGUAACUGACGCUGAGGCGCGAAAGCGUGGGGAUCAAACAGG
rnacentral:rRNA from 1 species